rnacentral:rRNA from 1 species
CCCUUAGAUGUUCUGGGCCGCACGCGUGCUACACUGAUGCAUUCAACGAGUCUAAAACCUGCUCUGAAAGGGGUGGGUAAUCUUUUGAAUGUGCAUCGUGAUUGGGAUAGAUGAUUGCAAUUUUUCAUCUUCAACGAGGAAUGCCUAGUAAACGCAAGUCAUCAGCUUGCAUUGAUUACGUCCCUGCCCUUUGUACACACCGCCCGUCGCUCCUACCGAUUGAAUGAUCCGAUGAAUAUCAUGGAUUGAGGAUUAUAGCAGGUUCGCCUGUCUUGAUCUUCGAGAAGUGAAGUAAAUCUUAUCAUUUAGAGGAAGGAGAAGUCGUAACA